GCCAGGAAGAGCCUCACGUGAUGAUCCUUCUCUUGCUGAUGGCUGUGGUGGUGAUGAUCAAACCGGAGCCUCUAAGAAGUUGACUGAAGAGGCCGUUCCUCU
ensembl:snoRNA